ACACACACACACAUACAGACAAUAAGUUUUAUUCCUAUCUUUAUUCAAGAGCGCAUUCUUUCAAUUUGAGAGCAUUUCUCACUGAUAUUACAUGCAGAUUUUGUGAUAAUUUCCCUCCAAACCUCUA